rnacentral:rRNA from 1 species
AACGCUAGCUACAGGCUUAACACAUGCAAGUCGAGGGGCAGCAUUUUAGUUUGCUUGCAAACUGAAGAUGGCGACCGGCGCACGGGUGAGUAACACGUAUCCAACCUGCCGAUCACUUGGGGAUAACCUUGCGAAAGUAAGACUAAUACCCAAUGAUAUCUCUAGAAGGCAUCUGAAAGAGAUUAAAGAUUUAUCGGUGAUGGAUGGGGAUGCGUCUGAUUAGCUUGUUGGCGGGGUAACGGCCCACCAAGGCAACGAUCAGUAGGGGUUCUGAGAGGAAGGUCCCCCACAUUGGAACUGAGACACGGUCCAAACUCCUACGGGAGGCAGCAGUGAGGAAUAUUGGUCAAUGGGCGCAGGCCUGAACCAGCCAAGUAGCGUGAAGGAUGACUGCCCUAUGGGUUGUAAACUUCUUUUAUAUGGGAAUAAAGUUUUCCACGUGUGGAAUUUUGUAUGUACCAUAUGAAUAAGGAUCGGCUAACUCCGUGCCAGCAGCCGCGGUAAUACGGAGGAUCCGAGCGUUAUCCGGAUUUAUUGGGUUUAAAGGGAGCGUAGGUGGACAGUUAAGUCAGUUGUGAAAGUUUGCGGCUCAACCGUAAAAUUGCAGUUGAUACUGGCUGUCUUGAGUACAGUAGAGGUGGGCGGAAUUCGUGGUGUAGCGGUGAAAUGCUUAGAUAUCACGAAGAACUCCGAUUG